AGAUUGAACGCUGGCGGCAUGCCUUACACAUGCAAGUCGAACGGCAGCACGGGGGCAACCCUGGUGGCGAGUGGCGAACGGGUGAGUAAUAUAUCGGAACGUGUCCUGUAGCGGGGGAUAACCUAUCGAAAGAUGGACUAAUACCGCAUACGAUCUACGGAUGAAAGCGGAGGACCGCAAGGCUUCGCACUAUAGGAGCGGCCGAUAUCGGAUUAGCUAGUUGGUGGGUAAAAGCCCACCAAGGCGACGAUCCGUAGCUGGUCUGAGAGGAUGAUCAGCCACACUGGAACUGAGACACGGUCCAGACUCCUACGGGAGGCAGCAGUGGGGAAUUUUGGACAAUGGGCGCAAGCCUGAUCCAGCCAUGCCGCGUGAGUGAAGAAGGCCUUCGGUGUAAAGCUCUUCGGUCAGGAACGAAAUGGUUCGUGUUAAUACCACGGACUAGAUGACGUACCUAGAAGAAGAAGCGACCGGACUAACUACGUAGCCAGCAGA
rnacentral:rRNA from 1 species